rnacentral:rRNA from 1 species
UAAUGUAUGGGGAUCUGCCCGAUAGAGGGGGAUAACUACUGGAAACGGUGGCUAAUACCGCAUAAUGCUACGGACCAAAGCAGGGGCUCUUCGGACCUUGCACUAUCGGAUGAACCCAUAUGGGAUUAGCUAGUAGGUGGGGUAAAGGCUCACCUAGGCGACGAUCUCUAGCUGGUCUGAGAGGAUGAUCAGCCACACUGGGACUGAGACACGGCCCAG